UAGUGGAUGGAAAGAAGGUUAAAUAUUCCUUCACCAGCUAGGAUUAAGGCAUGGAGUGCACAGAGAGAAAAGUAACUAGGCAAUCGAAUGCUGAGCUUAGUCUUCGGGCGAAGCGUAUUACCAGACAAUCUGUCUAGAAAAGCUCCAUGUUGUUUCCCUGGUUGCCAGUACCGUAAACCGACACAGGUGGGUGGGUCGAGUAGACCAAGGCGCGCGAGAGAAACCUCUCUAAGGAACUCGGCACAUUAGCCCCGUAACUUCGGGAGAAGGGGUGCCUGCUUAGCAGGUCUCAGUAAAUUGCGUUUAGCGACUGUUUAACAAAAACACAGCACUCUGCCAAGUCGUGAAGACGACGUAUAGGGUGUGACACGUGACCAAUGCGGAAAGAUCAAGGCAACUUGUUAGCCGUAAGGCGAAGCUCGGAACCUAAGUCCCCGUGAAUGUCGGCCGUAACUAUAACGGUCCUAAGGUAGCGAAAUUCCUUGUCGGGUAAGUUCCGACCUGCACGAAUCGUGUAACGACUGAACGACUGUCUCGGAGAGGAUCUCGGCGAAACUGUAACGGCGGUGAAGAUGCCGCCUGCCCGCAGUAGGACGGAAAGACCCUAUGCACCUUUACUGUAAGCUCGUAUUGGGUUCUGAUUAAUAAUGCUUAGCGUAGGUGGGAGACUUUGAAGGCGUGGCUUCGGUUGCGCUGGAGUCGAAAUGUGAAACACCACUCUUUGUUAAUUAGGAUUCUAACCUCGAUUCCUGUGAAACCAGGCGAGGGACAGUGCGUGCGGGUCAGUUUGACUGGGGCGGUUUCCUCCCAAAGAGUAACGGAGGAGCGCGAAGGUACUCUCAGCACGGUUUGCAACCGUGCGUCGAGCGUAUGGGUAGAAGAGUGCUUAACUGUGAGACAUACAAGUCGAGCAGGUACGAAAGUAGGCCCAAAUGAUCCGAUAGUUAAUGUGGAAUUGCUAUCGCUCAACGGACAAAAGGUACGCUAGGGAUAACAGGCUGAUCGCCGCCAAGAGUUCAUAUCGACGCGGCGGUUUGGCACCUCGAUGUCGGCUCAUCGCAUCCUGGGGCUGGAGAAGGUCCCAAGGGUCCGGCUGUUCGCCGGUUAAAGCGGUACGCGAGCUGGGUUCAGAACGUCGUGAGACAGUUCGGUCCUUAUCCACUGUGGGCGAAGGAAACUUGAGGGGUUCAUUCUCUAGUACGAGAGGACCGAGAAUGACGCACUUCUGGUGUGGCAGUUAUUCCGUCAGGGGUAGCGCUGCGUAGCCAUGUGCGGAAGAGAUAAGCGCUGAAAGCAUCUAAGUGCCAAGCUCAUCCCAAGAUAAUGUUUCCCGGACGCAAGUCCCUAAAGACCCCAGCGAGACUAGCUGGUUGAUAGGUUAGGCGUGUAAGUGGAGUAAUCCAUUCAGCGGACUAAUACUAAUCGGUCGUGCGGCUUGAUCGC
rnacentral:rRNA from 1 species